GGCCCGGUAGUUCAAUGGAUAGAAUAGAAGUUUCCUAAACUUUAGAUACAAGUUCGAUUCUUGUCCGGGCUACCA
rnacentral:tRNA from 2 species